GCCCGGCCCUGUCGAAGCUGCGCCUGUCUCAGGCGUGUAGCUGGCGCAGUCAAAAAGGAGCCGACAGCGAGCUGUUUUCCACGACGGUCGCUGCGCAGUUUGUCCUGUAACUGCGGAGCAACAUCCCGGGAAAACACACGU